AGAGAUUUGCUGCUGGCGUUGGCCUAGUGUAGUAUCUGAUCUUAAAAGUUUCAUAUCUGAUAUGCCCUUGAUGAGAGGAUUUUAUAUCAAACAGACUUUGGGGCAUGGGAGUUGGACCUGGAGCUUGCUCUCUCUGCUUCAUGCAUUGCCCCAGCAUUGCAGUGACUCUGGGAACGGUGCACUGAUA